GCCGGCGCCAGCGAGUCGUCCGCGCCGCGAAUUGCAGGGAAAUGCAUAGAGAGAAGGAUUUUAUGACGAGGCAAGAGAGAUGGUAAGAAAACAACAAAGAAAGACAAGAGUGAUGCCGGUGCUUGGCCGGAAGGUCGUUCCCAGCAGACAACAUUUUGUAAGCACUGCAAGAAGUCUGGACACAACUCUUCUGCAUGCACGGUGUUUCCUGAUUACCGGACUGAUCCUGAUCUGGGGAGUCUUCAAAAGCAGGCAGAACAGAUGUAGGAACUGCGGAUGCUUAGGACAUAAAUUCAGCAACAUGUACUGCUGAAUUGGAAGAACAAGAUGUUUAGUUCAAUGAUUCAACUCCUACAUUGCUCAUUCAGAGAUAUUGUUCGGUUAUUCCUUUUGUAUUAGCCGCAGCUCCGGCCAAAGAUGUCAUUUGAAUGGCUGUAUGUUGGCAUUUUUAUGUUGAUUUUUUUUCUAAACUCUGUAAUGUCACAGCUUAGCCAUUGAGAAUGCUUAAUUAUUGUCGAAUUUUCAUUGUUA